UAACCUCAUCCCUAAUUCGAAUCCUAAUUGAUUCACAUUUUCAACUAAGUUUAUUUCUAAAUGAAAUAAACGAAGCGAGUAGCGUGCUAUCUAUCUCUCUCUCAGAAAAAAACCUUCUCUCGAUCUAUAACCACUAGAGCAAUGCUAUUUGUACAUUUUUAAAUUAAAUAUAAAAAUUUAUAUUCUACCCAUCCAACUUUUUAAUCUUAUCAACACUUUUUAUCCUGCUAAAAUCUAUUUUGAUUGUCUAUAUAUAAAUUU
rnacentral:lncRNA from 1 species